UACGUAGGUGGCAAGCGUUAUCCGGAAUUAUUGGGCGUAAAGGGCGCGUAGGUGGUGGCUUAAGCGUGCGGUGAAAGCUCGGGGCUCAACCCCGAGUCGGCCGUGCGAACUGGGCUCACUGGAGCAUAGUAGAGGCAGGUGGAAUUCCGGGUGUAGCGGUGGAAUGCGUAGAGAUCCGGAAGAACACCGGUGGCGAAGGCGGCCUGCUGGGCUAUGGCUGACACUGAGGCGCGACAGCGUGGGGAGCAAACAGG
rnacentral:rRNA from 1 species